GACGUUUAAUGCAGAAAACGGAACAGAGCCUACUAUUUUGCUAGGAUCUUGUAUUUUGAUUUUAGAGAAAUGGACAUUGUGAAAAUAAAAGAGGAAGACGAUGUGGAGAGUGUUGUUUUGGAUAUAGUAAAAGAAGAAUAUUGUAUCCAAGGAGAAUAUAUGGCAGAAUCUUAUCCUGAAGAGUUUACUAUAGAAAUGUCUUCAGGAUCCAGUAUCAUAAAAAUUGAAGAUGAGAAUGUAAAAGAGAAGAAAACCUUUGAAUGUCCUAAAUGCAAACUAAAAUUCCUUCGUCAGCUCUCCCUUGAGCAACAUAUUUGCAAAUUGGGACAACGUAUAGAUUAUGCAUUUCUGUGUUCAAAAUGUUCCAUACAGUUUCGGGAUGGAACACUUUUUCUCAGACAUCUCAAAACGCAUCAUACUGAAUCUAAAGAAAUUAUCCGUUGUCCCCUUUGUUACAAAGCUUACACAUAUGUAGCUCAUCUAAUGCAUCAUGUCACCAAACACUUAAAAGGGCCACAAUUUAAAUGUAAUGCAUGUGUAAGGAUAUUCUGCGAAGAAAUUGAAUUGUAGCGACAUAUAUCCGUAAUUCAUCGCAGGGUGCAUGAGAAAUUAAUUUGUAGGCAAUGUGGCAAAAUCCUGAUGGAUUAUGAAUCCUAUGAGAAACACUCUCAAACCCACUCAUCGAAGAACAUCUAUUGCCCCAGAUGCCCGAUGACGUUUAAGCUCAAGCUACAGAUGGAGAGACAUCUGGCCAGUCAGCACAAAGAUGAUAAAACAUAAAACAUUUGUUUCAAACAAGUGCAAAACGUCCUUAAUCAAGAGAAUGGUAAAUUACAAGAAUUGUGGCAUAAUUCUGUGAGAGAUGAGCUUUAAAAUAGUCUUUAAUUAAGACGUGUAUAACAACAAGAUAAUUAAAAAAAAUCAUGAAGAUACUUAUCAGUACAGUAACUAAGCCAAUUUUCAUCAUUAGUUUAAUCAUGAUUGCUAAAUAUUCUGCGAUUUUGGAACCUGUCGCCAACGUUCUCCAAGAUAGGAGUAUGGAUUUUAUAAUGGUGAGAAAGCACAUCGGGGAUAUUCUGGAGAUUAUUUGGAAAGUCUGAGUAGACUUAGUUAUCCCUCGACUAGCUACAAGACAAAAGUACAUAAAUAAUGCACCAGCUGACAGUCCGAAUGAAUACUGGAGACGAUCUUUAAUAAUUCCUUAUCUCGACUCCCUGGCUUUUUCUAUAAGCGUAAGGUUUUCAGAAGAAAACACUCUCGCUUUCGCAUUAUCCCAUAUACAUCCAUCCCACAUACUCUCCUCUAAGGAUUUAGAGACAAACAUGAAAAUUUCUCAAGAUUUUUAUGAACUGAGGGACAUUGCAGCAGAAAUGGAGUUGUGGGGUAACCCGUGGAAAAAGAAAGGAUUGUCAAAGGUUAAGUUAAAAGAUAUUGAAGUGGCCUCAUUGUUGGAGGAGGCCAACGUGUUUUAUCCUACAAUAAGGCACGCUUUAUUGAUUUUAUGCGCCUUUCCAUUGACCACAGCAUCUGUUGAAAGGUCUUUCAGUACCCUUCGAAGGGUCAAAACCUGGCUGCGAAGCACAAUGGGACAGGAGAGAUUGUCGGUAUUGUGUCUGAUGAGUGUUCAUCGCAAUUUCUUCAAAGAAAAGCGGGAGUGGGUAAAAGCGGAAGUUCUGGAAAAAUUUGCUGCAAACCCCAGAAAACUGUUAAUAAUAUAGCAUAUCCAUAUGUAACAUCUAUUCCUGAAAGCUAAUGAGCCAAGUUUCCAACAAUAGUUAACUCAUCCAAUUAUGUUCUACUGACAGAAUAUAUGUGCUCAUCUAAUAGGGUAAGUGUGCCAAAUUCCGGCCAGCUUGCAAUUCCAGCCACCUUUUUUGUUCUUCGAAUUUCCAUGAUUUUUUAGUUUUUACAUACUUUAGAGAUUAUACAAUGCAAAAGAAUAACAAAAAAUGUAGCUUUGACAAACGAGAUGACGUGAAAAAGACAUUGGAAGAAUUCCCGAAGGGCAAGGAACUAUGAGAAUGAAGGUGGCCGAAAUAGGGCACCAAAACUAUGUCUACAUUUUUAUUCAUUUUAAAAUGUAUUAAGAACGAUUUCAAAAUAAAUAAAGACGAUAAACUGUC